AAUGUUGGGAGAAUAAACGAACAAAAGAAGACCCAAAGCAGAGAAGCCAGCUGCCCUGUAGCUGCCAAUUUCCUCUCAAAAAACCUGCCAAAGCAUUUCAGAGCCUGGCCCAUUCUAGCCCAUAGCUGAGCCCAGAGGGAGUUGGUUCUUGGUUUAAAUGAUGGCAAAGUGGGAAACAGCUCUGACAGACAAACAUGACAACCUGCCCCAUCUGGAUCAGCACUUCUCACAGGCAUUUUAGUCACCGUAACCAUCUCUUUCCACAUCCUGAAGGAGCCAACUCAAAGACAGCAGAGAGGCCUUGCAAAACAGAGCUGAGAUGCAGUUUGAGUGAACUCAUUUUCAUCUGCCUCUGAACUGCAGCCACUACCUACUCCAGACUUUUCCGAGAGUAACAGUCUAUGAAGAGAGAAGGAAUGCCAGGAGGCUUAAGGAAUUGGGAAAGAAAGGUUGGGGAUUCUUGAAAGAACUUCAGUUCAGAAUUGCUUCCAAGCUCUGCCUAGCUCUGGUAAUGUUUUCCUUAUUUGCCUGUGGAAGUGAGAAAAGCUGAAGGCAGAUUUCCUGUCCUAAGGAAGCUAGCUCCAAGACACAGACUUUUCUGCUCAGACAUCAGCUAAAAUUAAACUGUACAUGUUACAGCAUGGAUGAACUUUGAAAAUAUUAUGCUCAGGGAAAGAAGUCAGACACAGAAGGCCACAUUGUGUGAUUCCAUCUAUCUGGAAUGUCGAGAAUAGGCAAAUCCACAGACAGAAGAUAGAUGAGGGGUUAGCAGGGAGCUGGGGGAUGAGGGUAAUGAUGAGUGACCACUAAUGAGUACAGUUUCUUCGGGGGGUAAUGAAAAUAUUCUGGAACUAGACAGUAAUGACAGUUGGUGAGUAUGCCCCAAACCACUGAAUUGUACACUUUAAAUGGUACCACUUUAUAGUAUGAGAAUUAUAUUGUAAUAUUUUUUAAGGGGGGGGGGACCAAACUGCAGUCAGUACCUUGACCUCAGAGAGGAGGCUCCUGCUCUUUAGAGCAGUGGUCCUUCAAACACGGUCCCCAGACCAACAGGAUCAGCAUCACUGAGAAAUUACCAGAAAUGCAAAUACGCAGGCUCCAUCCCAGACCACACAAUUAGAUGGGGCCCUAUAAUCUAUGCUUUGAGAAGCCCUCCGGGUGAACAUCAUGUAUGUUCUCAAGAACCAUUACUUUUCGUGUAAAGGACCAGUUAGUAAAUAUUUUAAGCUCUGCAUGCCACAUACACAGGGUCUCACAUAGUCCUCUUUUUCUUUUUCAUGACCUUUUAAAAAUGUAAAAACCAUUCAGUUCCCAGGCACACCAAAACAGAUAAUAGGAGUUCCCACUGUGGUUCAGCAGAAAUGAACCUGACUAGUGUCCAUGAUGUGGGUUCAAUCCCUGGCCCGGCUUAGUGGGUUGAGGAUCCAGUGCUGCCAUGAGCUAUGGUGUAAGCCAGAACUGGCGUUGCUGUGCCUGUGGCGUAGGCCAGCAGCUGUAGCUCCGAUACUUAGACCCCCAGCCUGGAAACUUCCAUGUGCCGCACCUUCGGCCCUACAAUAAAUAAAUAAAUAAAUUUAAAAAACAGGUAACAGGGAGUUCCUGUCGUGGUGCAGUGGUUAACGAAUCCGACUAGGAACCAUCAGGUUGCGGGUUCGAUCCCUGCCCUUGCUCAGUGGGUUAAGGAUCUGGUGUUGCCGUGAGCUGUGGUGUAGGUUGCAGACGCAGCUCGGAUCCCACAUUGCUGUGGCUCUGGCGGAGGCUGGCGGCUACAGCUCCAAUUCGACCCCUAGCCUGGGAACCUCCAUUUGCCGUGGGAGAGGCCCAAGAAAUGGCAAAAGACAAAAAAAAAAAAAAAAAAAAAAAAAAAAAA
rnacentral:lncRNA from 1 species